UGGAACAUCAGCAGUGGCCGUGGCCAGCUCUGGAGCCUUGGAUUCAGCCCCCGCAGUAACUACAGAGCUCUCCGUCUACAGCGCCUGGAGGCUCCGCGGCGGG
rnacentral:pre_miRNA from 1 species